GGGACAUGUCAGUUGUCUGCUCAGGCUUUGUAGGAGGCUUUCAUCCUGCACUGCUCAAAUAAGAAAAACCAUGAGGUCACCAGUUGCUAAACACUUGACGUGGUUUCCCAAGGUUUGCCUCUCUGCAACCCCCCUUCCAGACAGAAACACUGUUCUGCUGCUAAUGGUGCACCAAAAAAAUCCACCUUUGUGUUCCAAAUGCCUUCCUGCAGAACAAGCUGCUCCGUUGCUCAUCUCCCAGGAUUAAGGAUGGAAUGGGGUGGGACAGGAUGGGACAGAGACAGACUUCUUGAGCCACCUCCACUGUUACAUCUUUUUAG